CACAGCCUGUGUAUCAGAAAAGCUUCUUUCAGAAAUGGUAUCAUGGAAGGAAAAGCCAGAAAGUGUAUUGAAGUUUUUCUGGAGAGUCAAGAUGAUCCUAUGGGCAUUCCACGAGUUUAGUAUUAUCUCUUUUGGGAAGCGAUGCUUUAAUAAAAUGUGCUGUUCUUCCACAAGCAAUCAACAGCAUAUAGAAGUGCUGGCCCAACACAAUACCUACUGAAGUCGGUCUGCAAUACCUGCUGAAGUCUACUUAUCAUAGAAUCAUAUAAUAAUUUAAGAUGGAACGGAUCGCUGAAGACCAUCUAGUUAAACUCCUCAAAGGAGGACUAACUUCAGAGUUAGAUUAAGUUUCACAGGAUAUUGCUUUCGCAGGAUGACUUUAUACAGGAUCAAGAAAACUGAUAGGCUAUAUGUCUAAUAGUGCUUUUCACCUAUAUCUUUUGGCUCAAAGUACUAUUUAACUCCAGGAAGGAAAAUGAAGUUAGCUUUCACGGUUGUGGACAAUUUCCUGUGUCUUCUCCAUUUUGAAAGAAUAUUCAGUUUGAAUGUCUGAGAAAUAACAAUGAGAACUUUACUGUUUGAUAUCCAGAUAAACACUCAUUUAAACCCAGGUCACAUUUUUUAAACCCAGUAAAUAUUUCUAAAAACAGCAAUUUUUAUUUUUUUUGUUUGAGUUCAGUUGUGAAGCCUGCUGCACAUAUAUGAAUGAAAAUCAUUUAAAAUGUGUGUAUCUCCUUUACAUUUUGGGUACAUGCUUCCAUUUGUCAGGUUCUGCAUUUGAGUUUGAUGAAGGAGGAAGAAGGGAAGAAGUAACAACUGUUGACAGACUUCUUUCCCGUUCCUGAUGCUGAAUGGGAAGUAGCAGGGCAGAGUCAGGGUUGUGUGUCUUGUCUGGAGCACUCCAACAAGUGUGGAGGGAGUGUAAUCUUGUUCAGACCUUCACUGUGAGAGGGCUACAAACAAGAAUGGGAUUGUGCUGUCUUACUCUGAGCGGCUUCAGUGAUUACAGUACGAUCCACAACAAUCAACUUUUGCAAGUAGUCUUACGACUCAAGU